rnacentral:lncRNA from 1 species
UGAUCGACUGGCGAACCAGUACGUACUGCUUGAUAUGGACAAUAUUAUUCGAAAUUGAAGACCUUGCAUAUAGGGAUACUUAUGUAUGUGUGCAUGGAUGAGUAUAUAUGAAUGCAUAUAUAUACUUAUAUAUGGAUAACAUAUAUGUAUGUGUACUUAUGCAUGCAUGAUAAUAUACUAGGGAAAAUGACCAUCUUGCAUAUAUUGUACCUUGCAUGGGUAUAUUUUCCCAUCUUGCAUAUGUUGUACAUCGCAUGGGUAUGUACACAUGCAUGCAUGUACUUAUAUACACAACAUUUGUGUAUGCACAGCCAUAAAAGUAUAGGAGAUUUUACACCAAAAAUAUCAUUAGAGAACAAAAUUAAAUCCUGCAUUUGUAGAUUACCCAGAACAUACUGCCAAGUAUAAUAGGUAAGGACACAAUAUUCUAUACAAAGACAUGGGCCUACUAUUUGACUAGAUGUAAUGCUCAUCUAAAAUUAAUUAACCAGCAUAAAUCAUGCCCAACCAUAUAUGAAAUUAAAUUCUUCCUGGUAAUUGAGAUCAAAUAUGAGAUAAUUAUUUCAGGUAUGUACACAUGCAUGCAUGUACUUGUAUAUACAUAAAUUUGUG